CCUACGGGAGGCAGCAGUAGGGAAUCUUCCACAAUGGACGAAAGUCUGAUGGAGCAACGCCGCGUGAGUGAAGAAGGGUUUCGGCUCGUAAAGCUCUGUUGGUAGUGAAGAAAGAUAGAGGUAGUAACUGGCCUUUAUUUGACGGGAAUUACUUAGAACGUCACGGCUAACUACGUGCCAGCAGCCGCGGUAAUACGUAGGUGGCAAGCGUUGGCCGGAUUUAUUGGGCGUAAAGCGAGUGCAGGCGGUUCAAUAAGUCUGAUGUGAAAGCCUUCGGCUCAACCGGAGAAUUGCAUCAGAAACUGUUGGACUUGAGUGCAGGAGAGGGGAGUGGAACUCCAGGUGUAGCGGUGGAAUGCGUAGAUAUAUGGAAGAACACCAGUGGCGAAGGCGGCUCUCUGGUCUGCAACUGACGCUGAGGCACGAAAGCAUGGGUAGCGAACAGGAUUAGAUACCCGUGUAGUC
rnacentral:rRNA from 1 species